UACGAAGGGUGCAAGCGUUACUCGGAAUUACUGGGCGUAAAGCGUGCGUAGGUGGUUUGUUAAGUCUGAUGUGAAAGCCCCGGGCUCAACCUGGGAAUGGCAUUGGAUACUGGCAGUCUAGAGUGCGGUAGAGGGUAGCGGAAUUCCCGGUGUAGCAGUGAAAUGCGUAGAUAUCGGGAGGAACAUCCGUGGCGAAGGCGGCUACCUGGACCAGCACUGACACUGAGGCACGAAAGCGUGGGGAGCAAACAGG
rnacentral:rRNA from 1 species